GGCAUCUCUGGUGAGGGUGGCUGAUGUGCUGGCUGGGUAGGAACCAGGGGCAGGUAGGCAUGUUCAAUGGAACAAGUUCUUCUUCAUGUCAGAUGUUAGUGUAACCCUAACUACGAUGCUGUGCUUGCCAUGUAGGUGGAAAAUGGAUAAUUCUAUAGAAGGUUGGUAACAACAAUUAACUCUGUACAGCUGUGGAUAUUUUCUUGCAUAGUGUUUAUUUGAUUGCUUUUCGUCUCAGACUUCUCUUCCCCCAGUACACUUGUACUCAAGACACUUGAUUUGGUCAGCACAGACCUAUGAAAUUACAAGGGAAAGAUUUUUCUAUGUGGUUAGUUGGUUCUAACAUUCAAAGAUGCCAUAUUCAAAGGAAAUACGUCACUCAAACAUCUCUGUUUUUAAACAAGCUGUCUUUAGCUGAAGCACUGGUGAUUCUUCAUGAAGAAACCUCGAGGAAAUAAGCAGAAUAGAGAAAUCCUGGGAAAUAAGAGGCAGUAUUGCUCUUCUUUUCAUUCCUGUUGUCUGCUUCUGGAAAUUGGUUAGUUUAGGAUUUAAGUAAGCCUAAAAGAAGGGACAUCAGAAAGAAAAUAAAAUACAUCCAAAAUCCACUUUUGCAUUAAUGGAGCAAUACCCUGAAAGCAAAAUCCUGCCAAUAGUUGCAUCUGUGCUUUUUGCAAGAUGGUGAUAAAAAAGCAAAAGAAAUCUCUUCAUUUUCAAGAUAGCUUCACAAAGAAAGCAACCAGAAACCAGACAUGGAACCAUCUCCCACCCUUCGCUGCCAGCGGCUGUUGCAUAUGAUGUCCUUGGAUGCCCAAAGAUUAGGCAGUCUGAUCCACCUGGCCCAUGUAACAGGGAUCAAAGACAUUUCUCCAUCUACAAACUUAAGCUCACGCUCUCUGAAAAUGAAGAGGAAAAAUUGAAAGUUAUGUAGUCUAAGAAAAUUAAUAGGCACACCUGGCUCUUGAGGGGGCAAAAUUGUGGACCAAUCCUCUCAUGUGGCAAUGCAUUUUGAGCAACAAAAAAGGUUCUUCCACUCCAGUAUUUUUCGCAGUUCAGCUUCAGUCAUCAGCCUGCACCGUAGGACCAUUAUUGACCCCUCUGGUUUGCUGCAUCACCCGCACCGCGGCACUUCUCAACAUCCUGGAGAAGUCAGUGCUUCUGUUGUAAAGAAUGUGGAUAUAAAUUACUCCGAAUUGCUUCUGCUUGAGAAAAAGCUGUGUACUAUUGGAUAAGGUCCUGAAACGUAAUUUGAAAGCAUCAACAGCAGAAAAAAACAUCCUGAAGUGGGGGAAAGACACGCUUCUUGGACAUUACUCAUUUGAAUCAUGGAGCUAUAGAGAAGCAGAUAUUGGUAUGAUGCAGUCGAUGUGUGACAGAGUACCAAAAGGACAUUCUUGAAGUCAGCUCCAUCUUUCCUAUGACGUGACUAUUCUCUUAGUAGGCCAUAUUUUUUAGGGAAUCAUCAGCAUGUCUAUGAGCUUUCCCAGUCCUAAAUUCUUUUAGGCUGCAUAUUUCUUCUGGAGUGAAAAUUGGAGACAGCGUAGCCCAUGGGUUGCUGUGAAGGCAUCGAAGCAACAUUCCUCACUUUUAGGGGACUGGUGUGGUGGCAUACAGGAAUCUAAUGUUCCAUGCAAUUUAUGAUUUUCCAUUUUACUGAAGAAAUAAUUCUGUUUGUUUGUAGGUUUAUGAACUUGCAGUCUUGAGUGCAGAGUACUACAAGUCACAAAUCAUUUUAUCUAUUGGCUGUUCUGUCUUAAAUGAAGAAAUAUUGUAUAUUGCUAAUAUCCUGAUCUCCAAGAGUUUCUAAGGAAAAAAAAAUUGAGUUUAAAUGUAAUUUAAAAAUUUUGAACAUUUAUUAUUAAAAUAUAUUUUUUUAGAAAA